UAUGGGCAUAGAGCUCAUGCGCGCGCAUGAGUGUGGCCAAUGAACGAUACCCGGCCCUCCUCUCUCGGACUUAGCCAUGCCCUUCAUUAGUUCCUGAGGGGAUUUUUCAGAACAGAGGUUAUGGCAGUUUCACCAUCCAAUUCCAUUUUUAGCAGGUGUGCUUCCUGGCCAAAGAAGUCAGAUGAGUGCAUGAGCAGCCCCUUUGAGGACAAGGCUUGGAUUCCCAGGAGCAGACAAGGAACUCUGUGGGCAUACUCCAAGGAAACUGGACCUCCUCUGUCACAGGACAUCCACUGUUUAAGCACCACCACUACCUCAGGAAGUCCACUGUCUGUGUGUCAACUCCACUGUUACAGGACCACAAGUGUCUCAGCACUUCAACUAUCACAGCACUUCUACUGUUCAGGAGCUCAAGAGUCUCAGCAUCUCAAGUGUCACAGGACCUCCUUUGUCCAAGAACUGGACUGUCCAAGCAACACUACUAUUACAGGACUUCCACUGUAGGAGCACUACAACUGUCUCAGUACACCCACUGUCCUAUAACCUCCACUAUCCCAGGAAUUCCACUGUCGUAGCACCACUCCUAGCAACUAAAGUGUUUCAGGACAUCAACUGAAGCAAGAUCUCCCAUGAUUCUGCAACUUCACUGCCACAGGAUCUCUACAGUGACAGGAAUACCCCUGUAUCAGCAAUUCCAAUUUUGCAGGACCUCCACAGUAGCAGAACCUUCAAUUGUGCAGCAGCUCCAUUGUAAGUAGAUUGACCGCCACGAUCUCAGUGCCUCCACUUUCAAAGGACCUUCACUGUCACAGAACCGGCGCUAUUUCAGUGCCUCCAAUGUCGCAGGACCUACCUCUUAACAGGAUCUGCACUGUUGCAGCAACUGUAAUUUCAAUUUUUCAAAGUCAUUGCUGGUUAUUAGAUUUGAGGCUGAAUGAAAUGUGAUGCUACUUUUGACAGCAUAAGAAUUUGUUCUAUCUCUUGUGAUAAAUGCCAUGUGUGCUAGGACCAGUAACCUAUGGAAGACUUCAUGAGCUCAUACCACUCUCCACCUCACUUUGUGGAAGCUGGUGUUUUUAGAGUGUGAUAAACUUCAGAUGAAUGGAUGCAUUCAGCUGCACCACGCUCUAGAGUGGGCUACACAGCAGUCAUAUUGAGUCCUUGCUGGGAAGAGAAGAAAUCCAGAAGAGGGAGAUGGUUGGGUUGGGGGAAGAAUCAUAAAACACUUAGAGGAUAUAAGAAGGUAAGAAUUAUGGGGAACUGGAAAACAGAGCCAGAGGAAGAAUGAGCACAGAGCAAACUGGGAAGGACAAAGUACAAAGGCACGUGGGUUUUGCCAUCUGCGUGUUCUCUGGACAAUCUCCCUUGGCCUCAUUUCUGGGAGAAAACUCUUCCUCCAACCCCUUGUAAUGUUUCAUUGUUGAAGGAAAGCAGCAACACAACUUCAUCAGUGAAUUUCCCCAUUGGAAUUGGUUCAUCCUUUAAUGCCUCUGGGAAAUCCCCAGCUGGGGAAUGUCCUGCUCUCUGCUGAGAGACAGCAGGAAAGUAGGUUGUCCUCUGUUUUCUCGUUGCUACAGCUCUUCUAAGUGUGGCUGAUUGUUGAGUGAAGACACAGGACACUUCUGGUGUGUAUGUAUGCUUUGUUCACUGUGGGUGUUGUCGGGAGUGUCCUGAAAAGAAGAAGGGCAUGCCCAAUGGCUCUUUGCUUCCUCUUUGACUAGCCUUAUGAUCAUAGGGAGACACUAGGCCAUUGGAAGAUGAGGAGAACAAUGUGUCUAUGUUGUGUUCACUUCUAUUCCUAUUUAGUCCUAGAGGGAAAUCAGCAAGGGUAGAGAAUGGGACCGUAACUGGACAAAGCUGCUGAGCCUGUGUUGUGAAGCAAUUCCUGUGUAUAACUUGCUGUUACAUUAAGCAAUAGGAUGCCAUGUUCUGGUUAUACCUUUUUGAUGCAAUGAAUCUAUAAAAUUUUACCUCAAACCUCAA